GACGAACGCUGGCGGCGUGCUUAACACAUGCAAGUCGAACGGGCCCGCCCCUGUUUUUGGGGGUGGGUUGAGUGGCGAACGGGUGAGUAUCACGUGAGUAACCUGCCCCCUGCUCCUGGAUAACUGCUUGAAAGGGCGGCUAAUACGGGGUGUGCCGGCUGGUCCGCAUGGGCCUGGUCGGGAUAGUUUCAUCUUCGGGUGUUUCGGUGGGGGAUGGGCUCGCGGCCUAUCAGCUUGUUGGUGGGGUGAUGGCCCACCAAGGCGGUGACGGGUAGCCGGCCUGAGAGGGUGGGCGGCCACACUGGGACUGAGACACGGCCCAGACUCCUGCGGGAGGCAGCAGUGGGGGGUAUUGCACAAUGGGCGGAAGCCUGAUGCAGCGACGUCGCGUGAGGGAUGGAGGCCUUCGGGUUGUGAACCUCUUUCUCCGGUGGUGAAGGCCCUAUCCGUUGCGGCGGGGUUGACGGUAGCCGGGUAUGAAGCGCCGGCUAACUACGUG
rnacentral:rRNA from 1 species